ACGAACGCUGGCGGCGUGCUUAACACAUGCAAGUCGAACGGAAAGCGCUCUUCGGAGUGACUCGAGUGGCGAACGGGUGAGUAACACGUGGGUGAUCUGCCCUGCACUUUGGGAUAAGCCUGGGAACUGGGUCUAAUACCGAAUACACCUUGCUGGUUGCAUGACCUGGUGAGGGAAAGCUUUUGCGGUGUGGGAUGGGCCCGCGGCCUAUCAGCUUGUUGGUGGGGUGAUGGCCUACCAAGGCGACGACGGGUAGCCGGCCUGAGAGGGUGACCGGCCACACUGGGACUGAGAUACGGCCCAGACUCCUACGGGAGGCAGCAGUGGGGAAUAUUGCACAAUGGGCGCAAGCCUGAUGCAGCGACGCCGCGUGAGGGAUGACGGCCUUCGGGUUGUAAACCUCUUUCAGCAUCGACGAAGCGCAAGUGACGGUAGAUGCAGAAGAAGGACCGGCCAACUACGUGCCAGCAGCCGCGGUAAUACGUAGGGUCCGAGCGUUGUCCGGAAUUACUGGGCGUAAAGAGCUCGUAGGUGGUUUGUCGCGUUGUCCGUGAAAACUCACAGCUCAACUGUGGGCGUGCGGGCGAUACGGGCAGACUGGAGUACUGCAGGGGAGACUGGAAUUCCUGGUGUAGCGGGUGGAAUGCGCAGAUAUCAGGAGGAACACCGGUGGCGAAGGCGGGUCUCUGGGCAGUAACUGACGCUGAGGAGCGAAAGCGUGGGGAGCGAACAGGAUUAGAUACCCUGGUAGUCCACGCCGUAAACGGUGGGUACUAGGUGUGGGUUUCCUUCCUUGGGAUCCGUGCCGUAGCUAACGCAUUAAGUACCCCGCCUGGGGAGUACGGCCGCAAGGCUAAAACUCAAAGAAAUUGGACGGGGGCCCGCACAAGCGGCGGAGCAUGUGGAUUAAUUCGAUGCAACGCGAAGAACCUUACCUGGGUUUGACAUGCACAGGACGCCGGCAGAGAUGUCGGUUCCCUUGUGGCCUGUGUGCAGGUGGUGCAUGGCUGUCGUCAGCUCGUGUCGUGAGAUGUUGGGUUAAGUCCCGCAACGAGCGCAACCCUUGUCUCAUGUUGCCAGCGCGUUAUGGCGGGGACUCGUGAGAGACUGCCGGGGGUCAACUCGGAGGAAGGUGGGGAUGACGUCAAGUCAUCAUGCCCUUAUGUCCAGGGCUUCACACAUGCUACAAUGGCUGGUACAAGGGCUGCGAUGCCGUGAGGUGGAGCGAAUCUUUCAAAGCCGGUCUCAGUUCGGAUCGGGGUCUGCAACUCGACCCCGUGAAGUCGGAGUCGCUAGUAAUCGCAGAUCAGCAACGCUGCGGUGAAUACGUUCCCGGGCCUUGUACACACCGCCCGUCACGUCAUGAAAGUCGGUAACACCCGAAGCCGGUGGCCUAACCCCUUGUGGGAGGGAGCCGUCGAAGGUGGGAUCGGCGAUUGGGACG
rnacentral:rRNA from 1 species